UAAUGUUUAUUGAGCGCAUACUGUGUGCCAGGCAGGCAUCACCCUAAGCACCUCCAUAGAUUAAUUGAUUUAAUUUUCAAAACAACUCUACGAGGUGGGUACAGUUAUUAUCCCCAUUUUACAGACGAGGACAUUGAAGCAAGGCCAAAGUCAAGGUGUUCUGUACAGAGAAAACUGUGCUAGAGAAUUUCUCUCCCCCAGUGUUAUGGGCUGAACUGUGUCCCCCCAGAAUUCACAUACUGAAGUCCUAGCCCCCAGUACCUUCAGACUAUGACUGCGUUUGGAGAUGGGAUCUUUGAAGAGGUAAUUAAGGGGGUGCCUGGGUGGCUCAGGUCAUGAUCUCGAGGUCCGUGAGUUCAAGCCCCGCCCCGGGGUCUGUGCUGACAGCUCAGAGCCUGGAGCCUGCUUCGCAUUCUGUGUCUCCCUCUCUCUCUGCCCCUCUCCCUCCCCCACUCACGCUCUUUCUCUCUCUCUCUCUCUCUCUCAAAAAUAAAACAUCAAAAAAUUAAUAAAUGAGAGGUAAUUAAGGUAAAAUGAGGUCUUUAGGGUGGGCCCUCAUCCAGUAUGACUAGUGUCCUUAGAAGAAAAGAUUAGGACACAGACACACACAGAGGCGGACCAGGAAGCCACAGGGAGCAGACGGUCACCCAUAAACCAAGGAGAGCAGCCUCAGAAGAAGCCAAUCCUGCUGGCCCUCUGAUCUCAGACUUCCAGCCCCUAGAGCGGUGAGAGAAGACCUGUCUGUGGUACUUUGUUAUGACACCCUUAGAAAUUAACACACCGGUCAGUUACAAAUGGCUGUCUGGGGAAUAGCACGUUGUUCAGCCGUCUUUGGGGGGGUGUGCUCGUGCUAGUGGGCAGGUGCGCGUGCACAAGGCAAUGCCAGAAUGCGCGUGUGUGUACAUCUACCUGCACCCGGGGGGGGGGGGGCGGUACGGGGGUGGGUGAGUAUGCAUUGACUUGGUUGUACACGCAUGAGCACAUGUGUGGAAACACGGGCAUGGCCACGUGGGUGGGCUGGGUGUGCACUCAGGCGGGUGGGGUGGUCGGUACACAGGUGCGUGUUCAUGCAGCCCAGCCUGGAAACCGAGAAAGACACUGGGCUGUGCACGCACACUCACGUAUGCACAUCCACAACGACUUCCAUCCUAGGAGCCCAGAGAUAAGAAGAACAUACAAGACACAGAAGAGGGAGUAGGGAGUUGCGCAAAACAGACGAGUCCUCUCCCAGCAACAGCGUAGAUUCUGGGCCCUCACAAUACAGAUCAACCAGAUCCUUGAAAGAAAGUGCCUUUUAAAAUGUUGCUAGGUGUAGAGGCAUAAGGGUUUGCUCUGAGCGCACAAGCACCAUCAGCAGAGAGAUAGGAAAACGGAGAGGUGAGGGAAAACAAGAGAUAAGAACAAAUUCUACCAUCGAGAGACCAAGACGGGGCUAGAAGCAAGGUGCGGGCCAUCACCUUAACACUAAGCCAGGACCCACAAUGCAACAGAGGCUAAAGUGACCCCAGGCAGAGGUGUCCCUCGACCCCUGGCAAACCCAAAUGAACCCUCGCUGGAGGACAGCAUCCCCAACUUGGGCACUCGGGGUUCCCAAAGAAUAUACAUAUAGACCCGCAAUUUUUUGAAAAACCAAAUACACCCAGGAGGCCAGAGCAGGUAUGACAAUAGAUUGAGAUCCCCAAGGAUGUCAGAAAUUGUAACUGUUAUAAUUAUAGUAUAUGAAAUAACUGAUUGAAAUUUUCAAAGAAAUAAAAGACGAAAUCAUAAGAGUUAUCA
ensembl:lncRNA